UACAGAGGGUGCGAGCGUUAUCCGGAGUUACUGGGCGUAAAGGGCGUGUAGGUGGUAAUGUAAGUCUGGCGUGAAAUUUUUCGGCUUAACCGGGAAAGGUCGUCGGAUACUGGAAGUCUCGAGGAGGGUAGGGGCAUGCGGAACCGUGGGUGGAGCGGUGAAAUGCGUUGAUAUCCAUAGGAACUCCGGUGGCGAAGGCGGCAUGCUGGACCCUUUCUGACGCUGAGGCGCGAAAGCCAGGGGAGCAAACGGG
rnacentral:rRNA from 1 species